rnacentral:lncRNA from 1 species
GGAUUUCUCCUCGGCGUCUUGGUGGAUCUCAGCCUCUCCUCCCAUUGUCAUGAGAGCUUUGGAGAUUUCACUACUCGAAGGCGCACUCUUAGGUGGUGGUUACCGGUGCGUGCCAGUGCCCCUACCGUUAGGCGCGUGGAGAUCUGAUGAACUGAAGCACGGUGUGGUCGUCUAUGGCCCAUUCGCCACAGUUGGGAGGAUCUCCUUCUCAUCUCUGAAGUUUCUGUCAGGUUCCUGCUCCAGUUCACGGAUGUUGCUGCCGGCUAGUUUUCAUUGGUGUUCGCUCUUGUUCUUCACGGAAAGAUAGUCGUCUCCUUGCUACCGGAGCGACCACAGGCGUUGUGAAGCUAACUGCCUUUCGGUUCUCGAUAGCAGCAAGUGGUGAGGAUGGUGUCAGCUCGGGUUGUCUCCGUU